CUAGCUGACAGCCAAAGUCACAGAAGGAGGACAAAAAUUCAAGACAGGUCCUCCCUAGAGUUGGCCUCUGGGCUGUUUGAACUCAUACAGAAAGACCAAGUCCGAAGCCACAGAUUUAAAAUAUUUUUUCCAUCUCCGCCUCCUUCUGUGAAAGUUAUCGUGAGUGUAUUUGGCCCAAGGCCUGUUAAACUUUUUCUGGAGGCAGGCAGAUUUUGACAGUCAAGAGCACAGACGUAGGAACAGCAGAAAAAGGAGGAGCUCUCCCAACCCCUGUUGGACAGAGUGAACUCUGCUGGCUGUCUGACAGCAAACCUUUUGGGAAACAGCCAGCCUUGCACCGUGUUGGAGGGCUUCACAGGGGAACGGAUGUGAUGAGAGCAAGGGGGUUGAGCGAAAGGGCUGGCAGGUGCCCACUUCCUGGCUCUACUUACUUCUUGCCACUCCUCUGCCCUCCAAGUGUAGAGCGGACACGGUGGGGCUUGGCAGGCACGUUCCGACUCUGGUCUAGUGUACUGGUCGCACCCGGUCUCUCUGGCUACUUUGUGUGUUCCCAUGUGACAGCCCACAUUUCUCCGCUGGACGCCUUGGCCACAGGACACAGAGCACUAAGAGGACAAGAGAGUCACCAUACUGGAAAACAUCUCAAGGCUCAACAUGGAAGGAAGGAAGCCUUGGAGGGAAAAAUGUGGACAGCAUGACAGCAGGAACCCUGUCUAAUAUUUUGGGUCUCUCAAGAGUGAGGGUAAAAUCUUGAUAAUUGAGGCCAAAAAUGAAGGCCAUGAACCUGGUAUUACUAUGAAAUUCUGAUUUAAAGAAGAUAUACUAUGAAUUAGUAGAAUUUCUUUUGGACAUCUCACUUUGUGCAAUCUCUGAUGAAGGUAUUUCUUCAACAAACUGCCUCGUGAUUCACUCUUUUGGAUAAAGAGGAUAAGCUCUCAUUUUCCCAGCACAUUGGAAAGGAGGUGAAAAAGGCACGUUUUGAAAGUGGUAGAUUUGGAUGCUGGAUGCAUUUGUUUGCCACUGUUCCUGGUGUGCUGUCCCUGGCAUUAGGGAUGCUCUGCAUUGGUCCUUUCACUCAUAUUGAAGGGUUUGGUCUCUGAGUCACAGAGAAACCAGAAAACAAUGUUUGCCUUCAUGAGAAUGGCUUCAGACCUAGAGAGAAUGAGAUCCCAGUAUUGCUGAAGCUGCUGAGAACCUGGACAUCCAGAUGGAUAUGGAGGACCACACAGAAUUGCUCCUACAUGAUAACCACGUCUUAACACGCACCUGCCACAUGGAUGGAAAAUACGUCAGGAGUUGGGAGGACAAGGAGUGAGGAAGGAAGCAAAUGGCUCCGUGAAUAUGGAAGUUUCCCUCAAGAAACUUCUCCUUCAAAGAAGGAGUGAUCUCUUGGAAUUCAAGCUCCUACAAGAUGGCUACCUGGUGUUGUCCAUUUCUGCUUUCUCCUAAAACGCAUCAAUCAAGCCUUGCCCUUUCAACCCACAGAGCACAUAAACAUUCUUUCUCCUUAACUGAACUUACUGCCACGGUGAACUUGAACUCUGAGAUGCACAAGAGGAGAGUCUGUUUUAACAGCUGCUUGGACACAGAGGCCCCGGAGUUACUACUCUCAAGACAGCUGGUUCUGUCUCUCUUUUCACUGUCCUAUUUUUUCAAGGCCCAGCUGUCAGGAUAUACCCACUGAAGUGUUCCCAAACAAAGGCACAAAACAGAAGACAGGCAAGAGAGUGGUACUUAUUGGAGACGAGGGCAUCUGACACGGGGACCCUUUACAUGCUGACAUAGGGUUUUUCUCCCCAGUUUAUUUUUAUAAUUGACCCCGUGGCUAGCUGAAUAUUAAUUGUUAACUGCCUGAGGCUGCCCUGCCCAAUUCUGUUUAAAUGUAGAGUAAAUGAAAUAACAAUUUAAAAUGCAGGAUCCAUGUUGCACUUAGCCACAUAACAAGUGCUAAAUUAUCAGUCACAUGUGGCUAGUGGCUUCCAUAUUGGGAAGCUAAGAUAGAAGAUGUUUCCAUCAUUAUAGAAAGUUAUUGGACUGCUUUGGCCAAGGUAUAAUCUCGUUCUAAUAGGAGAAAGGGAUGCUGAUCUGGCUAAGAAUGAUAGCUUUGUAGGUUUAGCCUAUAUUGAUUGUUUUCCAUCCUACUUUGUGUUCACUCUUUUCUUGGCUGCCAAUUUUCUACUUUUAUAAAUUUCUGCAAAGGGAUGUGACGGUGAUUAAAACAAUCCAUGACAAUGAUCCCACUUUAGAGGAAAAGACAACAACAAGAAGCAAAGACAGUGGUGUGGCAACCCACACAUUCCAGAUCUUUUUAUUAGUAUCUAUGAAAUAACAAAGGGGGAAAUGGACUCUCAGCCACAACUUCCCACACUAGUGUGGAGGCUGAAAGAUACCUGUGGGGAGAGGCAGAAAGUCAGGCCCUCCACAAAUCCUGGCUCUCAGAUCACUGAACUAUGUCUGGGUUCUAAUAUAAAGGUGAAUAGAAACACACUUUUUCUCAGAAGGUUUUUAAAGGUUCCAUAUCAUUAGCCAGGAAGCAUUGUGUCAGUUCUUUAUGUGUUCAGUUCUGUUUGUUUAAUAUCAAAUUUUCUCUGUCUCCACCAGAGUGAAGAGCUCUGACUUGUUCAUCGCUGAAUCCUUAGCAUUCAGAACAGCCUGGUCCCAAAGAAGGCACAUUAAAAGUAUUAGCUGAAAAACGAA